UUUUUUGAUAUGUCAAUGAUUAAAAGGGAAAUAGACAUCAACAAAUAAAGCUGCCAUUUUCUUCUCUUAAAUAAAUAUUUUUUAUAUAUAUAUAUAUAUAUAUAUAUUUUUUAC
rnacentral:ribozyme from 14 species